UGCCACAUGAUCAGAACAGCGGAGCCUUCUUUAUUGCUGUCUUUCACAAGCUUUCUCCUUUGCCAGGUGAGUAAACAUCAACCAUUCAUCAGAAGUAGAAAAUUGGGGCAUUAAACAUUUAACUACGCAUGAUAUGGCUAGUUCUAAUAGAAAACCUGCUCAGCUAUAUCUUCUUUUGCGGUUCAAGCUUUGAAACUUAGAUUCGAAACUUGAAGAACAGGAACUCAAAAUUCAACAUGGUAGAACUCUUUUUUUGUUUGUGAUUUUUAGAUUAUAGAAAAGCAAAGACCGAGGUUUCUAAGAACAACUCCUAGCCUAAGCUCCGAUACCAAAUGAUAGCAACUAAGAAGCAAAAUCGAGGAAAUAGAACUAGUAACGAAGAAACUAGAUAGAGCACAAGGAUAGAAGUAGAAAUUAGAUUGGGCUUAACAGAAAAAUUAGAAGAAAGAAAGGAGAUUCUAACAAUCAAAUAAACAUUUAAUUAUUAGAAUAAUCCAAAGGGAAGAGAGUAACUGGUAAAGUUGCUGUCAUGUGACCAAGAGGUCAUGGGUUCAAGCCUUUGACACAGCCCGUUGCAGAAAUGUAAGGUGAAGCUGCAUACACCAGACCCUGUGGCCCCUUCCCCGGACCCUGCGCAUAGCGGGAGCUUAGUGCACCGGGCUGCCCAAGGGGAAGAGAGUUGAACUCAUGCAUGGAUCUAUAGCAAGAAGAAUUCCAAGAAGGCUCAAUAAAGAGAGACACACAAUCACCCAGAAUAGUAUUUUCUUUAAUCGUCCAAAAACUAGCUAGCUUGCCAAAAUAGGAAACUAAGAUAUUUAUACUAGGUCUAUGUAGAAGCUAACAAUAGUAAAAGAUAUCCCUAUACUAGGCCUUGAAUACACUUAGGCUGAAAUUAGGAAAAUUGUUGGAUCCCAAAACUUCUUCACAUUUGAUAAUCAUGGAGCCGUCUUUGGUGAGAUUCUUCUACAAUUGGCUCCCCAUUUGAUAAUCGUGUUGUUUCACUGUGGUGCUCCAUUGCCUCCUUUAUUGCCAGGCUCCAUUUUUGAAAUGUGGAGGCAGUUUUUGGUCCACAUUUCUCUCCCCUUUUGUGCUUCUUGUCUUCCUCAGAUACAUUUUGAGUUAAAAGCUUAGUUCCCUGACCUUUUGUAGCACCCCAAGGACUUAAAGUUGAUUGGGCUUGGGUGGUCACUUUGGAUCCUUGGUUUAGUUGUCUUUGUCUCCUCCUUUUAAAUAACCACAUAAGUACAUUCUGGGUCUGGAGUUACUUUCCAUGCUCUCUUGAAACAUUCUAGACUCUCAAUGUUAAUAAGUUGGAAGCCGCCAAUGCCAUGACUGUCUAUCCGUGAGCUGUCAGGGCACACACUUGAUGUCAUAAUACAAUUUUCUAUCAUAAUUUUGAGCUGUACUUGUGUAUGUAUUGAGAUCCUGUUCUGGAUGACUUUGCAGUCAUACAAAAGAAGCCUUGCUGGCCAGGGAAGAUGACUUCCACAGGCAAUUUCCAAUCACAAAGUUUUCCUAAGGUCAAAGAUAUAAAUGCUGAUGAGGUUGAGCAAGUGGAUUCUGUAGGUAAUCAACUAUCUGAAGCGACUAUGGAUGAUGCUGAUAUUCUUGAAAAUGGAAAGGAUGAAGCUCCACUGGAUGCCGACUGCACUAAAAUACUGGAUGAAAAAAGGCUGCAGUUUGAACCUUCCAGUGAUGGAAGAGCUGGUCCUGAGUUGGUUAGAGGGAGAGGAAAGUUACAAACGCAAGGAAGAUGGAGAGGGGUUGACCCAAUAUUAUUUUACCGGGACGAGGCAGCUGUGGGUCAGAUAAAGGCCUUCUAUGGCAUCAAGGAAUCCUUUCCAUUCAAAGGUCAUUUGAUUGUGAGGAAUAGUGAUAUCAGCCAUGUGAAGAGAGUUUAUUAUGUAUCUAAAUCUGUGAAAGAAGUUCUUGAACUCAAUUUCCUAGCUGGUGAGCAGCUCAAGAUAGCUGCCGUUGGGCUCAAGAUGUUUGUAAGUUGCUCUAAUUUGACACUUGAGAUUUCUGUUCUUGGAACUCGUGUCAUACUAUAUAAUUUCAUGUGCAUGUGUUUUAACGUCCAUCUUUUACAAAGUUCUUUUCAGAAAAGAACUUCGCAUCCUACUCCCUCCUCUCCUCGGAAAGGAUAGGAGGUAUAGGACAAAACCCAAGCCCCCUUAAAAAACAAGUAGGCAAAGUACGAAGGCACCAAUUGAAUGACUCUUUUUGGUCAUUCUUUCCUGGUGACCUCUGUCCAUUGCGCUAUUAGAUAACCUUUCUUUCUUCUCUUCUCUCUGUUGCAGGAGCGGCAAAAAGAUGUUUCUGCACAAUGUGUAUUCCGCAUAACAUCUGAAGGAUUGCCAUUGCUGCUGCCACACAUAACCAAACAAAUAGUUUAUGCAUCUCCUGUAGAUUUCAAGGAUCUUUUGCAGUACAAGAGCAUUAAAUUUGGUGAUUUUGGGGACUCCGAAUUUCGGGAAAAGGCUUCAAAGCUGCAGUUUGGCUGUUGUGCAGUGAUUUUGAAUAAAGGUUAGACUUGGUGAUUGGUAUCUUCAUUUUUAGUAAAACAUGAUUGGUUUGUUUCUCUUUUUAAAUUUUCUCUCUAUUUUCUUUUAGACAAUAAGACCUUGUCGGAACCCCAAGUGGAUGCAUCGACUAUCUCUAUAGGAUGCUGGAGAGGCCGGAAUAGCGUUACAGUGAUGGUGAUUGAACUUGAUAUUCAAGAACUUCUAGAAAGGAUAUUAAUGUAUUUGGAGGAGGAUUCAGAUUCCUCAUUGCUGGAAAACAAGUCAUUGAUUACUGCCGAGGCAGAUAAAAUAGUUAAAGCAGAUUAAGCUGAAUUGAAUAUAUUGAAAAACGAUGAGACAAUUUACCUGAUACUUGUUGCUGGUGGCAGGUGGCAGGUAUCCCGUAGAAUUAUUCAAGGUGUGUGCUAGCUUUCCGGGACACCACGGCUAUAAAAAACAAUGAGACAAAUCAUAGUUAAACUCACAAUUUUGAUAGGUGUUAUAUGUGUGCCAUUACAAGGAAAUUUGGAAAAUUUUGAUGUUUAUUUAUUGGUUUAUUCUGUUUAGGCAAAUUCUACAACUAUAGAUUUCAGAUGAAAAUGGAGGAGGUGUCCUUGUAACCUGAUUUUUAUGUAUUGUGAUCAAAAUAUUGAAGAACCAAAUUAUCAACUGUUGUGGAUGACAAAGUAAAAUGUCAAU
rnacentral:lncRNA from 1 species